UCUGAAGUAGAAGAAGAACAUUGAAGAGACUGUGUUUCUGAGU
rnacentral:sRNA from 1 species